rnacentral:rRNA from 1 species
UACGUAGGGUGCGAGCGUUAAUCGGAAUUACUGGGCGUAAAGCGUGCGCAGGCGGUUGUGCAAGACAGAUGUGAAGUCCCCGGGCUUAACCUGGGAAUUGCAUUUGUGACUGCACGGCUAGAGUGUGUCAGAGGGGGGUAGAAUUCCACGUGUAGCAGUGAAAUGCGUAGAUAUGUGGAGGAAUACCGAUGGCGAAGGCAGCCCCCUGGGAUAACACUGACGCUCAUGCACGAAAGCGUGGGGAGCAAACAGG